rnacentral:rRNA from 1 species
UACGGGGGGGGGCAAGCGUUGUUCGGAAUUACUGGGCGUAAAGGGCUUGUAGGUGGCCAACUAAGUCAGACGUGAAAUCCCUCAGCUUAACUGGGGAACUGCUUCUGAUACUGGAUGGCUUGAGUUUGGGAGAGGGAUGCGGAAUUCCAGGUGUAGCGGUGAAAUGCGUAGAUAUCUGGAGGAACACCGGUGGCGAAGGCGGCAUCCUGGACCAACACUGACACUGAAAAAGCGAAAGCCAGGGGAGCAAACGGG